UACGUAGGUGGCAAGCGUUGUCCGGAUUUAUUGGGCGUAAAGCGCGCGCAGGCGGUUUCUUAAGUCUGAUGUGAAAGCCCUCGGCUUAACCGAGGAGGGUCAUUGGAAACUGGGAGACUUGAGUGCAGAAGAGGAAAGUGGAAUUCCAAGUGUAGCGGUGAAAUGCGUAGAGAUUUGGAGGAACACCAGUGGCGAAGGCGACUUUCUGGUCUGUAACUGACGCUGAGGCGACGAAAGCGUGGGGGAGCAAACAGG
rnacentral:rRNA from 1 species